GACGAACGCUGGCGGCGUGCUUAACACAUGCAAGUCGAACGAAGAGCGAUGGACGCUUGCUUCUAUCAAUCUUAGUGGCGAACGGGUGAGUAACGCGUAAUCAACCUGCCCUUCAGAGGGGGACAACAGUUGGAAACGACUGCUAAUACCGCAUACGAUCUAAUCUCGGCAUCGAGGAUAGAUGAAAGGUGGCCUCUACAUGUAAGCUAUCACUGAAGGAGGGGAUUGCGUCUGAUUAGCUAGUUGGAGGGGUAACGGCCCACCAAGGCGAUGAUCAGUAGCCGGUCUGAGAGGAUGAACGGCCACAUUGGGACUGAGACACGGCCCAGACUCCUACGGGAGGCAGCAGUGGGGAAUCUUCCGCAAUGGACGAAAGUCUGACGGAGCAACGCCGCGUGAGUGAUGACGGCCUUCGGGUUGUAAAGCUCUGUUAAUCGGGACGAAAGGCCUUCUUGCGAACAGUUAGAAGGAUUGACGGUACCGGAAUAGAAAGCCACGGCUAACUACGU
rnacentral:rRNA from 1 species